rnacentral:snoRNA from 1 species
AAGCCUAUACUUUCAGGGAUCAUUUCUAUAGUUCUUUACUAGGCAAAGAGUUCUUAGACUUGACUCUAAAAGCACAAUUCAUAAAAGGG